UUAGUGGCGGACGGGUGAGUAACGCGUGGAAAACCUGCCGUAUACUGGGGGAUAACACUUAGAAAUAGGUGCUAAUACCGCAUAAGCGCACAGCUUCGCAUGAAGCGGUGUGAAAAACUCUGGUGGUAUACGAUGGUUCCGCGUCUGAUUAGCUAGUUGGUAGGGUAAUGGCCUACCAAGGCAACGAUCAGUAGCCGGCCUGAGAGGGUGAACGGCCACAUUGGGACUGAGACACGGCCCAAACUCCUACGGGAGGCAGCAG
rnacentral:rRNA from 1 species